rnacentral:rRNA from 1 species
UACGUAGGGUGCGAGCGUUAAUCGGAAUGACUGGGCGUAAAGGGUGCGUAGGCGGUUUGCUAAGACGGAUGUGAAAUCCCUGGGCUCAACCUAGGAACAGCAUACGUGACUGGCAGGCUAGAGUAUCGAAGAGGGGGGUAGAAUUCCACGUGUAGCAGUGAAAUGCGUAGAGAUGUGGAGGAAUACCGAUGGCGAAGGCAGCCCCCUGGUCAGAUACUGACGCUGAGGCACGAAAGCGUGGGGAGCAAACAGG